AAUUCUCAACCUCACAUUACAGA
rnacentral:miRNA from 1 species